GACCUCAUGAGGGCGAUCUGGUUGUAACACCUAUCAUCCCACUGAUCGCCAGGGUGGAUUCCGCUGAUCUGGCUGGCUAGGCGGGUGUCCCUUUCUUCCCUCAAGUGCCAUGUGCGUCCCUCCUGAGGUUACGUACUUGGUUGAAGAGGAUGACCAUCCCCAGUUAAGGAGGACAGGUGUUUGGUCCAGGGUAUAGGACUAGCUGCGCUCCCCUGCUAGAACUUCCAAACAAGCUCUCAAGAUUCACAUUUUUUCUUUUGAGGUGAGUACAAUAAUAACAGAUGACCACACAGUCUAAUAAGAAAUAUAAUUA
rnacentral:snRNA from 1 species